rnacentral:rRNA from 1 species
GACGGGGGAUGCAAGCGUUAUCCGGAAUCACUGGGCGUAAAGCGUCUGUAGGUGGUGAUGCAAGUCACUGGUGCAAAACUCUGGCUCAACCGGAGGAAAGCCAGUGAAACUGCAUGACUAGAGUGUGGGAGAGGUAGAAGGAAUUCCCUGAGUAGCGGUGAAAUGCGUAGAUACAGGGAAGAACACCGGAGGCGAAAGCGUUCUACUGGAACACAACUGACACUUAGAGACUAAAGCUAGGGGAGCGUAUGGG